ACGGGGCGCACCAGGCGCGAAACCUUUACAAUGCACGAAAGUGUGAUAAGGGAAACCCUAGUGCUAUACCUUUGGUAUGGCUUUUCUCAUAUGUAAAAAGUAUGGGGAAUAAGUGGUGGGCAAGACGGGUGCCAGCCGCCGCGGUAACACCUGCGCCACAAGUGGCAACCAUGAUUAUUGGGCCUAAAGCGUUCGUAGCCUGUCAAGUAAAUUCUUUGUGAAAUUGUGUAGCUAAACUAUACAGCGUGCAGGGAAGACCGCUUGACUAGGGACCGGGAGAUGUUAGAGGUAUUUUUGGGGGAACGGUAAAAUGUUAUAAUCCCAAAAAGACCACCUGUUGCGAAGGCGUCUAACAAGAACGGAUCUGACGGUGAGGGACGAAGGCCAGGGGAGCAAAUCGGAUUAGAUACCCGAGUAGUCCUGGCAGUAAACGCUGCGAGCUAGGUGUUGCAUAAUCUAUGUGGUUGUGCAGUAUCGAAGCGAAGGUGAUAAGCUCGCCGCCUGGGAAGUACGGUCGCAAGGCUGAAACUUAAAGGAAUUGGCGGGGGAGCACAGGAAUUGGCGGGGGAGCACAGGAAUUGGCGGGGGAGCAC
rnacentral:rRNA from 1 species